GAGCGUUAUCUCCGCAUUAGGAAAUUCCCGAGCGCUCGCUCGUCUGCAUUUAACGAAUGUCACGCGCGCCGACUGUGUACGUUGAUACUUCACGACAAACGAUCGUGUCAACGUGAUACGAGGCCUCAACGUGGUGCGGAAUCAUUACAGCGAUAAUUUGCUCAUAUAGUCGGAAAGGUUAAUUACCGUGUACGCGUCAGAAAAUAAAAAACUCACGUCAUCGAGUUCUUUGUAGAUUUCUACCUUUUGUGUGUUGGUUUUUUUUUUAUAUAAACUUUAAUUUAAAGUGCUCUUGGUGUGCCAACAUGAAUGGAUAUAACAGCUACAACUACAUGUACCUGCAUUUUUACUCACAAUGCGAAACCUAAUUCCAUCCGGCUCACAAGAGAUGAGAAUUCCGGAGCGAACCUCUCUAGGAAUCCCCUAAUCACUGAUCAGCUGAUUCUCAGAACUUUGCGACCGCACGUUUGCUAGCUCGCUCCGGCUUGGCUCAACGUACAGUCGCGGUCGCGUGGUUUCAAGGACACGGCAAGGUUGACACGCGCCGCCACUCACGGACGACUAGUGAGAGGGGUCUUGCUCACACGUAUCGACGUAUUUUCCGUUUCACAAACAACUUGAUAAUAUUUCAUACAUAAACAUGUAUGACUUUUUACACACUCUAUUGAGAGAAUUCGAGAACUUUAUCAAAGAUGCAGGUAUCUCGAGAAUAUAUAUCGAUCACGAUGUAAGUUCUUGGAACGUUAAAUUUUUAUUCGAGUCACCUGGACGCGCGUAUAACGUGCACUAAUCCAAGGUAUCAACCACGCUUGCAAGGUAUUUGCCCGAGGGCGAGCGCCGUUGGAAUCUCGGACAAGAAAUGUCCCUUACCGAAAUGUCUCUGGAGUCGUUCGUGGACGAAGGAGGAGGACGACAAGGAGAAAAGGCCUCUUCAGAUCUGCAGGACACGUUUCGGACUCGAAUAAGCGAUCCGCGGUCUCGACAACGUUCACGAUACCAAAUUUGGCGGCAUUGUGAGGACCAAGCGGUUGGGCGGACAGCUGUUUCCCAGGGUCGCGGCCGCCAGAAGCAUCGAGGAGCAACAAGACAAUUUCAUAUGAUUUAUAUUUAUGAGCGCGUCGGCAUUUAAUAGUUGCCGCUCGUGCGCGCGGCAUUGCGCACACUGAGUCAUUCCGCGCGAGGAGGCCGCACCGGCGGAGAUCGGUGCCUCGUUUCCAGAGCAUACGAGACGUCAGCGAAUUCCUCGCAAGGGCUCGCAUGAGACGUCGCAGUUAAUCUCUUCCUCGUUUCGCGCGGGGCACGACGGCGAAUGGGCGUUGCGCCGCGAACGUUUAAAUUGAAGCGCUAUUCAGCGCUUGUGGCGCAAUUAGUACAUUCCUCCUUUUCCUCACAUGUCUAACACUUUCAAAAUGCUAAUGGAGUCAAUUAUUCUAAGAAAAUUAAUGGUGAUUAUUUCUGCACGAAUAAAGGGAAGAAUUAUCCAUGCCGAGUCGUUAGAAACGAAACUUUUUUGUUGAAAUUGACAAAAUGCUUUCCACAAUAUUAGAUAAGCAAAGUAACACUCCGCACGCUUUUGUUAUUAAGUUUAUCGCCAUCGACUGCUUUCUUCAACAAUGAACAAUCGUUUAUCGAAGAAAAUGGAGUUCAAAGAAUAGCAAACGUGUUGAAUCGUUAAAGUUAUUAAUCAUAUUUUGUUGAAAAUCGAAAAAUAAGUGUCAUGUUAUUAUCUUUUCUUGUUAUAAAAAUUUCUUUCGCAAGUUACACAGUAUUAGCUUGUGUUGAACAGCCCACAUAUGGAAAUCGCGUUGAAUUAUUCUUGGCGCACUGCUGUAAUUAAUAACUGUCCUCUACCAUAUAUUCUCUUAAUAAUUAUGUAAAGGCAACUGCCGGUGUUAGCUACAGCUGUGUUCGAUACAGUCGCGACUGAUUUCCUAAGCCAGUGUUUGCCAACCAUAAGAUUCACAUGCAAAUCAGCAUAAUGACACACCCUUACAAGGGUGCAAUCGUGCUCUUCUCAACACGCCACCUUCGCUGAGAUAAGAGACAAAUUGUUAGUUGCGUUCACUCGUGUUUUAAUUUAAACAUCAGACAAUGCAAAGAAUGUAUAAGUGUAAUUGAAUUUGCAGCCAUAAUAAACAAUUCCUUCUACAUU
rnacentral:lncRNA from 1 species